rnacentral:rRNA from 1 species
GUGGGGAAUCUUGCGCAAUGGGCGAAAGCCUGACGCAGCCAUGCCGCGUGAAUGAUGAAGGUCUUAGGAUUGUAAAAUUCUUUCACCGGGGUCGAUAAUGACGGUACCCGGAGAAGAAGCUCCGGCUAACUUCGUGCCAGCAGCCGCGGUAAUACGAAGGGGGCUAGCGUUGCUCGGAAUUACUGGGCGUAAAGGGCGCGUAGGCGGACAGCUUAGUCAGAGGUGAAAGCCCAGGGCUCAACCUUGGAAUUGCCUUUGAUACUGGCUGUCUUGAGUUUGGGAGAGGUGAGUGGAACUCCGAGUGUAGAGGUGAAAUUCGUAGAUAUUCGGAAGAACACCAGUGGCGAAGGCGACUCACUGGCCCAAUACUGACGCUGAGGCGCGAAAGCGUGGGGAGCAAACAGGAUUAGAAACCCGAGUAGUCC